rnacentral:rRNA from 1 species
UGGGGAAUAUUGCACAAUGGGCGCAAGCCUGAUGCAGCCAUGCCGCGUGUGUGAAGAAGGCCUUCGGGUUGUAAAGCACUUUCAGCGAGGAGGAAGGGUAGUGUGUUAAUAGCACAUUGCAUUGACGUUACUCGCAGAAGAAGCACCGGCUAACUCCGUGCCAGCAGCCGCGGUAAUACGGAGGGUGCAAGCGUUAAUCGGAAUUACUGGGCGUAAAGCGCACGCAGGCGGUUUGUUAAGUCAGAUGUGAAAUCCCCGCGCUUAACGUGGGAACUACAUUUGAAACUGGCAAGCUAGAGUCUUGUAGAGGGGGGUAGAAUUCCAGGUGUAGCGGUGAAAUGCGUAGAGAUCUGGAGGAAUACCGGUGGCGAAGGCGGCCCCCUGGACAAAGACUGACGCUCAGGUGCGAAAGCGUGGGGAGCAAACA